rnacentral:rRNA from 1 species
AUUGAACGCUGGCGGCAUGCUUUACACAUGCAAGUCGAACGGUAACAGGCCUUCGGGUGCUGACGAGUGGCGAACGGGUGAGUAAUGCAUCGGAACGUGCCCAAUCGUGGGGGAUAACGUAGCGAAAGUUACGCUAAUACCGCAUAAGCCCUGAGGGGGAAAGUGGGGGACCGCAAGGCCUCACGCGAAUGGAGCGGCCGAUGUCAGAUUAGCUAGUUGGUGGGGUAAAGGCCCACCAAGGCGACGAUCUGUAGCGGGUCUGAGAGGAUGAUCCGCCACACUGGGACUGAGACACGGCCCAGACUCCUACGGGAGGCAGCAGUGGGGAAUUUUGGACAAUGGGCGCAAGCCUGAUCCAGCCAUGCCGCGUGCGGGACGAAGGCCUUCGGGUUGUAAACCGCUUUCGGCCGGGAAG